UACGAAGGGGGCUAGCGUUGUUCGGAAUUACUGGGCGUAAAGCGUGCGCAGGCGGCCAUCCAAGUCAGUGGUGAAAGCCCGGAGCUCAACUCCGGAAUUGCCAUUGAAACUGUUUGGCUCGAGUACGAGAGAGGUGAGUGGAAUUCCCAGUGUAGAGGUGAAAUUCGUAGAUAUUGGGAAGAACACCGGUGGCGAAGGCGGCUCUCUGGAAGAUUCCUGACUCUGAGACACGAAAGCUAGGGGAGCAAACGGG
rnacentral:rRNA from 1 species